rnacentral:rRNA from 1 species
UACAGAGGAGCCAAGCGUUGUCCGGAUUGACUGGGCGUAAAGCGCACGCAGGCGGUCGCGCGCGUGGGGUGUGAAAUCUGGCCGCUUAACGGCCAGGCGCCAUCCCAUACGGCGCGUCUGGAGUGAUGCAGAGGUCGGUGGAAUUGCCGGUGUAGUGGUGAAAUGCGUAGAGAUGCGGAGGAACACCAGUGGCGAAAGCGGCUUUCUGGUCCUUAACUGACGCUGAGGCGCGAAAGCAUGGGGAGCGAACGGG